rnacentral:rRNA from 1 species
UACAUGGGGUGCAAACGUUGCUCGGAAUUAUUGGGCGUAAAGCGCACGUAGGCGGUUUGUUAAGUCGGAUGUGAAAUCCCUCGGCUCAACUGAGGAAGUGCAUCCGAAACUGGCAGGCUUGAGUACUAAAGAGGGUCGCGGAAUUCCCGGUGUAGAGGUGAAAUUCGUAGAUAUCGGGAGGAACACCAAUGGCGAAGGCAGCUCGCUGGGGCGGUACUGACGCUGAGGCGCGAAAGCGUGGGGAGCAAACAGG